GUUAAGUCAGAUGUGAAAGCCCGGGGCUCAACCUCGGAAUUGCAUUUUGAAACUGGCAAACUAGAGUACUGUAGAGGGGGUAGAAUUUCAGGUGUAGCGGUGAAAUAGCGUAGAGAUCUGAAGGAAUACCGGUGGCGAAGGCGGCCCCCUGGACCAGAUACUGACACUCAGAUGCGAAAGACGUGGGGAGCAAACAGGAUUAGAUACCCUCGGUAG
rnacentral:rRNA from 1 species